GGAAGAGGGCCCUCAUUAGACUGUGACCAUGCUGGCAGCUUUAUCUUAGAGUUCCAGCCCCCAGAACUAUGAGCACUAAAUGUUUAUAAGCCACUCAGUCUGUAUUUUAUCACAGCAGACCAGGCUAAGACACUAGUGUUCUUUACAUAUUAUUAAUAAGUCGACUUUUGUCCACCCGUCGAGGUCGCUGCCACUACCAUGGCUCAGUACAAGGGGGCCGAGAGCGAGGCGAGCCGCGCCAUACACCUGCUGAAGAAGCGGGAGAAGCAGCGCGAGCAGAUGGAGCAGAUGAAGCAGAGGAUCGCCCAGGAGAACCUAGUGAAAUCCAACAUUGACAGGAAGUUCUCUGCGCACUACGAUGCUGUGGAGGCGGAGCUCAAGUCCAGCAUGGUGGGUCUGGUGACCCUGAAUGACGUGAAGAUAAAGCAGCAGGCACUGGUGAAGGAGUGGGAGAAGCAGCUGGCCAAGAAGGAGCAGCUGAAGGAGCUACAGCCAAGCUGGAGAAACUGCGAGAGAAGAAGCACAAGGAGGAGGCCAAGCGGAAGAUCUCCAGCCUGUCCUUCACCCUGGAGGAAGACGAGGAGGCAGGCGAGCAGGAGGAGGAGCUGGAAAGGAAAGCGGUCACCACAAAGAAGAGGAAGCUGGGGAAGAACCCAGAUGUGGACACAAGCUUCCUGCCUGACCGAGACAGGGAGGAGGAGGAGAAUCGGCUCCGAGAAGAGCUAAGGCAGGAGUGGGAAGCCAAGCAGGAGAAGAUCAAGAGCGAGGAGAUGGAAAUCACAUUCAGUUACUGGGACGGCUCUGGGCACCGGCGGACAGUCAGCAUGAAAAAGGGCAACACCAUGCAGGAGUUCCUGCAGAAGGCGCUCGAGAUCCUGCGCAAAGACUUCAGUGAGCUCAGGUCAGCAGGGGUGGAGCAGCUCAUGUACAUCAAGGAGGACCUGAUCAUACCCCAUCACCACAGCUUCUAUCACUUCCUUGUCACCAAGGCACGCGGGAAGAGUGGGCCGCUCUUUAACUUCGACGUUCACGAUGAUGUGCGGCUGCUCAGUGACGCCACCGUCGAGAAGGACGAGUCGCACGCCGGCAAGGUGGUGCUGAGGAGCUGGUACCAGAAGAACAAGCACAUCUUCCCCGCCAGUCGCUGGGAGCCAUACGACCCCGAGAAGAAAUGGGACAAGUACACGAUCUGCUGAAUGUGGAGGUGACAUGGCCCCAGGCCUCGGGGCACAGUUGUGAAGUGAUAUCUCAUUGUGCUUUUGAUUUGUAUUUCCCUGAUAAUUAGUGACCUUGAGCAUCUUUU